rnacentral:lncRNA from 1 species
CGAGAGACAACGGACCACACGGCUGGAGCCCGACUCCGGCUCCCUGGCACGUCAGACUCACAAACACGGUUCUGUGACACGCAACAUACGCGGUGAGAGGGUCGAGUUGUCACCGAAGUCGGGUGACAUGAUGCAGUCACGAUGCGGUAGCCUGUGGAGGACGGUCGCGCUCGUAAUAACUCUGUGCACAAAACCCCGGCCAGGCGCGCUUGAACACCUGCUUUGGCCCAAUGAGAACUGAGCACCAAGCAGCCCUGGAAGAGCCCCCUGCCCCCCCCUCCCCGGCUCCGUGGCCCCUGGGCGCCCCCAGCUCGGGGAGGAGCCCCUGCGGCCCGUCCUCCGCCGAGUCCCGCACACCUCCCGCCGUCAGGACCACCGCAGCCUCGGCGCCCGGCUCGUCCGUUCCAGCAGCAGCGAAACCUUCCGGGCGGUCGAGACCCCGCGUGGCGGAGGCAGCGGGCACCCUGGCCCUCGCGGCUCAGAAGCACAGGUGCACGAGGCAGAGUCCGCGCUCCUGGCGGAGGACCGUGAGCACACCGCCCUGCCCUGCGUGCGGAAGUCUCGAGAAAGCACGUAGGUCUGUCGACUCAGAGAAAGAGGCCGUGACCGUGAGAUGAGCGGACACCCAGGUCCUCGCGAUCUCGUCUCGGCCGGAACCGACCUGGCUGUCACCAGCACACAAGGGGUGAUGUCAAGGCUGGGGACCCGGAGGGAAGCCCAGGGAAACCAUUCUGGAGGCGCUUUGUCUCCUUUGUACUUUUUCAGGGGCCCGGCCGCGUGCGUGUGUCGCCUCCGAAAGGAAACUUGCAUCUGUGGAUUCCACGCGGUCCACGAACCCACAGCCCUGGGCAGCAGCACACAUUUGCCUGAAAUCCCGGCAGGCGCUUCGGCCGCGGGCAGAUUCCCUCCUUCCGUUUUGUGUGUUUUCCAAAGUUCCUAUGGCAGCACAGCGUCCUCUGAGCACCACUUUGCAGGGCCCUGUGUGCAUGCUGUUCCACCCGCUGCAGACUCGACGGCAGGGCGCUCACUGCAGUCCAGUCCCAGUGGUUCCGGUUCCCAUUAGACACUAUUCUGUGACCCAUGCAUCCUUCGCAAGUUCACAUUUUACUUCCCAGGUUGACUCCAAGGAGGACUUUCCUCAGACGUGUGACAUUACAGCACAGAGUUCUCCGUCAGUGCCUCUGUGCAGCCUGAGAAGACGCUCAGUGACCCCAGGGACCAGGCGGCCCAGGCAGACUCCGUGGGGCAGAGGAAGCUCGGAAUGGACCCGCCCCGAGGAGCCCCUCUUCGUCCAUCGGUCUCGUUGAGGCUCCAGCCACGUGGCUCGGACGCACAUGUGAGCCUAGGGGACCCCUCCGGCACAAGUACAGGUCACGAUGAGACUCAGGAAAGCAUUCAGGGGGUCUCCGAUACAUCUGUCCCCCUCACAGAGUCACACUCUCCCUCUUCACUAGCCGGCGAAGGGUUCAAAAGGCAAGUCAAUAAUGUGGGGAGACUGGAAUGUGGAG